GAUGAACGCUGGCGGCGUGCCUAAUACAUGCAAGUCGAGCGAACAGACGAGGCGCUUGCUCCUUUGACGUUAGCGGCGGACGGGUGAGUAACACGUGGAUAACCUACCUAUAAGACUGGGAUAACUUCGGGAAACCGGAGCUAAUACCGGAUAAUAUAUUGAACCGCAUGGGUCAAUAGUGAAAGACGGUUUUGCUGUCACUUAUAGAUGGAUCCGCGCCGCAUUAGCUAGUUGGUAAGGUAACGGCUUACCAAGGCGACGAUGCGUAGCCGACCUGAGAGGGUGGUCGGCCACACUGGAACGGAGACACGGUCCAGACGCCUACGGGAGGCAGCAGAAGGGAAUCUUCCGCAAUAGUCGAAAGUUUGACAGAGCAACGCCGCGUGAGUGAUAAAGGUCUUCGGAUCGUAAAACUCUGUUAUUAGUGAAGAACAAAUGUGUAAGUAACUAUGCACGUCUUGACGGUACCUAAUCAGAAAGCCACGGCUAACUACGUG
rnacentral:rRNA from 1 species